rnacentral:rRNA from 1 species
UCCGUGGCUCAGGACGAACGCUGGCGGCGUGCUUAACACAUGCAAGUCGAGCGAUGAAGCUCCUUCGGGAGUGGAUUAGCGGCGGACGGGUGAGUAACACGUGGGUAACCUACCUCAUAGAGGGGAAUAGCCUUCCGAAAGGAAGAUUAAUACCGCAUAAGAUUGUAAUACCGCAUGGUAUAGCAAUUAAAGGAGUAAUUCGCUAUGAGAUGGACCCGCGUCGCAUUAGCUAGUUGGUGAGGUAACGGCUCACCAAGGCGACGAUGCGUAGCCGACCUGAGAGGGUGAUCGGCCACAUUGGGACUGAGACACGGCCCAGACUCCUACGGGAGGCAGCAGUGGGGAAUAUUGCACAAUGGGGGAAACCCUGAUGCAGCAACGCCGCGUGAGUGAUGACGGUCUUCGGAUUGUAAAACUCUGUCUUCAGGGACGAUAAUGACGGUACCUGAGGAGGAAGCCACGGCUAACUACGUG